UCACAUUGCUCAGAUUAGCAAAGCAGUACAAUACUGUAUGCAAAUCUCCUUUACCAGCAUGGUGACUCCUAAUCUUUGUGAAAGUCGAUUACAUUUGACAGUAGCAGGACAAAGAGGAUCCAAGCAGGAAAAGCCAUUUCUGACAGCAAAUUAGUGGAACCUUGUGAAGUAGACCUCGCUGCAGGACAUAGAGUUUUAGGAACCAAGAAAGUACAUUUUACAAGGUUAUGACAUUGCUGUUUGGUCACAAGUGUGGAAAUGCAUGUAAAGUGGUGUGAAAACACAAUGAUGGCAUCAAAGCAUAAUACUACAAACAUCAUUCAAGGUCUGGAUCUCAGCUUUUAGACUCUCCCACCAUUGCUACCCUAUAAUGACUCUGUGAUUUGUCUUGUCAUUCACCUGCACAGUUUUACCGCAGGGUCAGCCUUGUACACAGUGAAGUAAACCCACGCCAAUGGACCUUAGCAGAUAGAGAAGCAUUGGUGGAACUGCAGAGGUAGCAGUCUCUCAGCCUUCUUCCUCCCUGCAUUGCUGCUGCAUAUGGCAUUCCAGAUCUUGGAUCUCAGCUUCGAGACUCUCCAGCCACUCCUCAGAAGUCUCCACAACACACCUAGUUGUUUAAGUCAGAUGGUAGUCUUAUACUCAUCCCGCUUCUGACACCGAUGUAGUGCCAGUGCAGGAAUGGAUCCUCAGCUCUUCGGAUGGCUUUUUGAGCUGGUUUACUAUACUUAAAAAGACUGCUCACCAUUGCCACACCAGAUCGAAUUCUGCUUCCGACACUACAGAAUUCCUGUUUUUAUAGGUGUACCUGCUGCUGAUGAUGCAAUUCCAACUCAGAGUAUUGGUGACUCAUCCCUGGCAAAUGCAACUUGUCAGAACAAUAAUCUAAAUAAACAAUAUAAAACCAAUAAAAAUAAAAUUCUUCUUUACAGAAACCUUUAGUAAGGAAGAUAAAAUCAAACUGUGGAAACCUAAAUACUGGUGAAAUAAGCCUUACAGUAUAAAAUAAAAGCAAGUGUUGUCCUGACAUGAAUGAAUGAACUUUCAGAGGCACUCUUUAAUAUCCUGCACAGCACUGUGAUGACAUCCUUCUAUUUGGAAUACAUUUUUAAAUCUCUUACAAAAGAAGGAAGUUAAAAUUAUACUACUUAUUCAAUACAAGUAUUGUUGUCUAGAAUCCAAAAACAGAAACACAAAUGAUUAAAACAGAAGCUGGAAGAAAGACUUUCAGGGUUAUCUUUAUAUUCUCAAUUCUAAGAUAAGACUGUCUUAUGAAGGAUCACCCAUCUGUAGCAGUGAACCUGUAAUAAGUCCAUCUGAGAUCAACUCUUAGACAAACGGUACAGGAUGUAAUCACAAGCCUUACAAAUUGGUAAACCAGAAUUAUAGGGACAUUCCUAAGUACAUAAUGCUUGUCUUAGACGACGUGCAUCUGCUGGUAUUUGCAUGCAAUAUCGGAUACUGUGUAAUUACAGCCUGAGAUAGCUGGACAAUCUAGGAUUAAAAGGAUAAACUAUAAUGACCAGACCACAUGUUUCUACACUAAAUCUCAUUUUCUGCCCUUGGGUAGCUCCUCUGUUCUUUUAUGAAAUAAUUGAGUUACUGCAUUUUGUAUCUGAUGCCUCCCAUUCCCUGUUUAGGGCACUUUCAUUCUGCAAGCAUUUUGCACACACACUGUAAAUUUACUCUUUAAAUAUGAAAAAUAUCAAGCUUUCUUAUUAGACACUUGGACUAAUGAUGGGAGAUAUAGUCGCAGGAUUACCUCCGAUUCUAGACAUAACUGAAAGGUGAAGGACAUCUGUCUGCUUUGUUGGUCUAAACUGAUCAUAUCUCUGGUUGACUCCUCCAUGAAUAAUUAUUUCUCAGCUCCUUCAAAUCAGAAGACUGUUAAGUUUAAUAUGCUAACAUACAUUUUUUCAAUGCCUGGCUUCAUUUUUUUGAUUUGCCACUGCCUACUUGUGUUACUGAAAGAACUUGAAUUCUGCCUGUUUUCAAAUGUUUGUUGGGAAGCAAUUAUAUUACUAAAAACAUGUACUUUGUUAUUGCAAAAAAAAUUUAAUGCUGUUGUAUCCUUUUGUGUUCUGUCACUUUCAGAUGCUACUUAAUUUUACUUUAUUUUACAGCACAGAGAUUUCUACCAUUUACUUUUUUUACUUAUCUAUUUAAUUUUUUCUGUUGAAGCUUUGAUCUCCCGGUUUUAAACUUAGAUUCUGAAGUAACUUUCAUUACUCCUCACUUUCAUGUUUAAACUAAUAUCAAGCAAAAUAAUAAUUGUUUAAACUGUAACCAAGAUACCCCAUGGACAGAGAAGAGAGCUCCUUCCGUUUUGUUCAUCCUGUUUAAUUCAAUAUGUUCAUCUUACUAUGUUAAUGCCUGCUUAUCUCUCAAACUGGGCCCCUGCUGUGUAAGAUUUGGAAGAUCUAGAGUAUUGUAUAAGAGAGUUAUUUUCACUCUAAGAAUGUGUGCUUAUGGAUUAAUGUGGCUAUUAACAAAGACCACUGAAUCUGCUUCUUAAAGACAAAGAAACACUUACCUUUUUAAAUUUCUUUAUUGUUUUUAAUUUACUAAUUAUGUUAUGUGGAAAACCCUUCCUAUGUAUCUCAAAUAAAAAUAUUAGCUGAAAAAUUCAAAAUAUAACUAUGAAUUUAUUACAGAUAAGAAAAGAAAAUGCCUCUAUGGACAAUAAUCACAUGCGAUGUUUAUGAUGAGAUCAUUUAAACUUUAUACAACAGGCCUCUUUUAUGUCUUUCAAAAGCUUCAUUGCUUCUACUGAUGCAGUAAUUUGUGGCAGUAACCCUUCUUGUUUCCCCAUUACUCUUUUGC